rnacentral:lncRNA from 1 species
AUGAGGUACCACAGAGCAUCAGGACAGGGGGGGGACAGCAGGGACAUGGGCACAGGGACAGCAGGGCACGAGGGACUGCAGGGCAUCAGGACAGCGGGGACAGGAGGGUGCCACAGGGGACAGGAAAAACAGAGACCUGGGGCACCAGGACUGUGGGGACAUGGGGCACCUCAGGCCACCAGCACCAGGUGGACACGGGCCAUCGGCAUGCCAGGACACAAGCACACAGGGGACACGAGGCAGGCUGACAGCGGGGCCAGGGCCACCGCAGGGACGGGACGGUGGCCAGCGGUGGCCGGGGACCCUACCGGGCAGCACGGUCUGGUUGGGGCCGUCGGUGGCCAGGGGCUUGCACAGGUCCUCGAAGUAGCCCAGGUCCUUGAGGACGAAGACAAGGGAGGCCCAGCCGAAGAUGAUGCCGCAGAAGGCGCCGCACUCCAGCAGCCCCGACAGGAGGGUCCCCAGGCGCUUGCCCACCCCCGCGCCCCCCCCGCCCAUGUCACCGGCCUGGGGCGUCCCCGCCGCGCCUGUGGGGUGACAAACAGCGGGGCGUCACAGCCCGCCCGGCACCGCCCGACACCCCCUGCGCCUGCCCGGCACCAGGAGCGGGGGGCUCGGGGGCACGUGGCCACCCGGGCAAAGGCCACCAUGGUCCCGGCUCUGCCCCUUGUCCCCGUCCGCCGGCGGCUGGCACCGGGCCCCCCCACGCGCCGGGCACGGGGCAGGACCCUGCUGGCGGCUGGGGCUCCGCACACGCGUGCACGCCUGCUCACACGCACACACGUGCACCCACAGACACGCACAGGUGCUCACACAUGUGCAAAUGUGCUCACACGCGUGCACACACACUCACACGUGUGUUCCCCCCCCUCUCGCCCCCCCACACCCACCUGCGCCGGGCCGGGCCCUGUCACCGUUGCUGCCGCCGCGGAGUUUGGACCCUGGCACACGGAGCCCGGGGCGCACCCCGCACCCCCUGCACGGCCCCCCCCAAUCUCCCGCCAGCACCCGCAGCCCCCCUGGGGCUGA